rnacentral:rRNA from 1 species
GACGGAGGAUGCAAGCGUUAUCCGGAAUGAUUGGGCGUAAAGGGUGCGUAGGCGGCGCGGUAAGUCGGGUGUGAAAUCUCGGGGCUUAACUCCGAAACUGCAUUCGAUACUACCGUGCUUGAGGACUGGAGAGGAGACUGGAAUUUACGGUGUAGCGGUGAAAUGCGUAGAUAUCGUAAGGAAGACCAGUGGCGAAGGCGGGUCUCUGGACAGUUCCUGACGCUGAGGCACGAAGGCCAGGGGAGCAAACGGG